CGGAGGUGGUGCCGUCCGCGUUGGGGCGCUGAAGGAGGCGGCCUAGGCGGCGGCGGCGGUGGCGGCGGCAGCGGCAGCGACGGUGGCGGUGACGACGAUGGUGACGGUGAUGAUGGCGAUGACGAUGGCGAUGAUGACUUGAAGAAAGUGAAGUCUACGACUGGUGAGCCUGCUGCCAAAAAACCGAAAAACACUGUUGCAUAGAUUCAACAGCGUCAAUGUUGCCUUCGUGUUUUGUUACUAUGCACAACACUUCAUGAAAGUGAAAAUAAAGUUGCGGUAUGAACUAGUUUUCGGUGGUGGCGGGCGACCUUUUAUCGAUUACCACCGUUACACCACACCAUGAACGAGCUGUUGGAUGUUUACACAAAACGAAAUCUUGAUACAUUUUGGAUAAAUCACUUUCACGUCAAUAUAUUUUCCAAAACACUUUAAUCCUUUAUAGAAAUCAGGAACCACCGAAAUUCUUCAUUUUAUAAAACUUUAUAAAGAGUAUACAUUAAGCUAAUUAAAGGUGCGUCUGCAGUCUGA